rnacentral:rRNA from 1 species
GGUCAAGUUAUUAAGGGUGCAGGGCGGAUGCCUUGGCACCGGGAGCCGAUGAAGGACGUGAUAAGCUGCGAUAAGCUAUGGGGAGUUGCACGUAAACUUUGAUCCAUAGAUUUCCGAAUGAGGAAACUCACCAUGAGUAAUGUCAUGGUAUCUUCGAGUGAAUACAUAGCUCGUUGAGGGGAACUCGGGGAACUGAAACAUCUAAGUACCCGAAGGAAGAGAAAGAAAUUCGAUUCCGCUAGUAGCGGCGAGCGAACGCGGAACAGCCCAAACCUAAGAAGUUCGCUUCUUAGGGGUUGCGGACAUAUCAUCAGGAAGAGGUUAUUACAGACGAAGAGUUUUGGAAAGCUCCGCCACAGAAGGUAACAGCCCUGUAGUCGAAGUGAGAAGACUUCCGAUAUGAUCCAGAGUACCACGGGACACGUGAAACCCCGUGGGAAGCAGGAGGGACCACCCUCCAAGGCUAAAUACUACCCGGUGACCGAUAGCGCAUAGUACCGUGAGGGAAAGGUGAAAAGAACCCCGGGAGGGGAGUGAAAUAGAACCUGAAACCCUGUACUUACAAACUGUGGAAGCACAUUUCUUGUGUGACCGCGUACUUUUUGUAGAACGGGCCAACGAGUUACGUUAUGCAGCAAGGUUAAGUACUUCAAGUAUGCAGCCGCAGCGAAAGCGAGUUUUAACUGAGCGUUUAGUUGCAUGACGUAGACCCGAAACCGGGUGACCUAUCCAUGAGCAGGUUGAAGCGAAAGUAAAAUUUCGUGGAGGACCGAACCCACGAGCGUUGAAAAGCUCGGGGAUGACUUGUGGAUAGCGGUGAAAUUCCAAUCGAACCCGGAGAUAGCUGGUUCUCCCCGAAAUAGCUUUAGGGCUAGCCUCAGAUUCAGAGAUACGGAGGUAGAGCACUGAAUGUCCUAGGGGGUAUUGCACCUACCGAAGACUAUCAAACUCCGAAUGCCGUCAUCUUUUAUCUGGGAGUCAGACCGUGGGUGAUAAGAUUCACGGUCGAGAGGGCAACAGCCCAGACCGUCGGCUAAGGUCCCCAAAUGUAGGUUAAGUGGUAAAGGAUGUGGGAUUGCACAGACAACCAGGAUGUUGGCUUAGAAGCAGCCACUCAUUCAAAGAGUGCGUAAUAGCUCACUGGUCGAGUGAUCCUGCGCCGAAGAUUUCCGGGGCUAAAACCUACUACCGAAGCCACGGCAUCAUUUAUGAUGGGUAGGGGAGCUUUCUUUACUGGGCAGAAGCAUGACCGUAAGGACAUGUGGACUGUAAAGAAGUGAGAAUGUUGGCAUGAGUAGCGAGAUGUGGGUGAGAAUCCCACAGGCCGUAAACCCAAGGUUUCCAGGGGAAGGUUCGUCCUCCCUGGGUUAGUCGGGACCUAAGCCGAGGCCGAAAGGCGUAGGUGAUGGACAACAGGUUGAAAUUCCUGUACCGCCAAUAAGCGUUUGAGAAAUGGGAUGACACAGUAGGACAGGAUGAGCGUGCUGUUGGUUAUGCACGUCCAAGCACUGAGGCAGUAUCCGGAGGCAAAUCCACGGAUAUAAUGCUGGGGUGUGACGGGGAGCGAAAUUUAGUAGCGAAGCAUCUGCAUUCACACUGUCGAGAAAAGUCUCUAUCGAGUUUAAAGGCGCCCGUACCGCAAACCGACACAGGUGGGUGAGGAGAGUAUCCUAAGGCCAGCGAGAGAACUGUUGUUAAGGAACUCGGCAAAAUGACCCCGUAACUUAGGGAUAAGGGGUGCCAUCGAAAGAUGGCCGCAGAGAAUAGGCCCAAGCGACUGUUUACCAAAAACAUAGGUUUCUGCUAAGUCGCAAGACGAUGUAUAGGAGCUGACGCCUGCCCGGUGCUGGAAGGUUAAGGGGAUCUGUUAGAGCAAUCGAAGCAGUGAACUUAAGCCCCAGUAAACGGCGGCCGUAACUAUAACGGUCCUAAGGUAGCGAAAUUCCUUGUCGGGUAAGUUCCGACCCGCACGAAAGGCGUAACGAUUUGGGCACUGUCUCAACAACAGACUCGGUGAAAUUGUAAUUCCGGUGAAGAUGCCGGAUACCUGCGACAGGACGGAAAGACCCCAUGGAGCUUUACUGUAGCUUGGCAUUGGGUCUUGGUACUACAUGUACAGCAUAGGUGGGAGGCUUUGAUUCCAGGACGCCAGUUUUGGAUGAGCCACCGUUGGGAUACCACCCCUGUAGUACUGGGACUCUAACCAGAGGCCUUGAAUCAGGUCUUGGGACACUGUCAGGCGGGCAGUUUGACUGGGGCGGUCGCCUCCCAAAAGGUAACGGAGGCGCUCAAAGGUUCUCUCAGCACGGUCGGAAAUCGUGCAUAGAGUGUAAAGGCAUAAGAGAGCUUGAUUGCAAGACAUACAGGUCGAGCAAGGACGAAAGUCGGACUUAGUGAUCCGGUGGUUCUGAGUGGAAGGGCCAUCGCUCAACGGAUAAAAGCUACCCUGGGGAUAACAGGCUUAUCUCCCCCAAGAGUCCACAUCGACGGGGAGGUUUGGCACCUCGAUGUCGGCUCAUCACAUCCUGGGGCUGUAGUAGGUCCCAAGGGUUGGGCUGUUCGCCCAUUAAAGUGGUACGCGAGCUGGGUUCAGAACGUCGUGAGACAGUUCGGUCCCUAUCCGUCGCAGGCGUAGGAAAUUUGAGAGGAUCUGCCCUUAGUACGAGAGGACCGGGGUGGACGUACCGCUGGUGUACCAGUUGUCUCGCCAGAGGCAUGGCUGGGUAGCUAUGUACGGAACGGAUAAGCGCUGAAAGCAUCUAAGCGCGAAGCCAGCCUUAAGAUAAGAUUUCCCAUUCUUCGGAAGUAAGACCCCAUGAAGACUACGUGGUUGAUAGGUCGGAGGUGGAAGUGCAGUAAUGUAUGCAGCUUACCGAUACUAAUAGGUCGAGGGCUUGACCAA